rnacentral:rRNA from 1 species
CGCUGGCGGCAGGCCUAACACAUGCAAGUCGAACGGUAGCACAGAGGAGCUUGCUCCUUGGGUGACGAGUGGCGGACGGGUGAGUAAUGUCUGGGAAACUGCCCGAUGGAGGGGGAUAACUACUGGAAACGGUAGCUAAUACCGCAUAACGUCGCAAGACCAAAGAGGGGGACCUUCGGGCCUCUUGCCAUCGGAUGUGCCCAGAUGGGAUUAGCUAGUAGGUGGGGUAACGGCUCACCUAGGCGACGAUCCCUAGCUGGUCUGAGAGGAUGACCAGCCACACUGGAACUGAGACACGGUCCAGACUCCUACGGGAGGCAGCAGUGGGGAAUAUUGCACAAUGGGCGCAAGCCUGAUGCAGCCAUGCCGCGUGUAUGAAGAAGGCCUUCGGGUUGUAAAGUACUUUCAGCGAGGAGG